rnacentral:rRNA from 1 species
UACAGAGGUCUCAAGCGUUGUUCGGAUUCAUUGGGCGUAAAGGGUGCGUAGGUGGCGGGGUAAGUCUGGUGUGAAAUCCUGGGGGCUCAACCCCGGAACUGCUUCGAAUACUGGCGGACUUGAGGCUAGUAGGGGUUACUGGAACUGACGGUGGAGCGGUGAAAUGCGUAGAUAUCGUCAGGAACGCCAAUGGUGAAGACAGGUAACUGGGCUAGUUCUGACACUGAGGCACGAAAGCGUGGGGAGCGAACGGG